ensembl:lncRNA
GGCGGAACCAAUGAUUGGGUUGGCCAUUGCAGCUGGGGGUUCAGAUUGACUGACGGACGUACCUCCAGUGCACUCCUGGACAGGGCAGAGUCUGCUGACGGUGUCCCGGUUAGCGGCGGCGUCAUGCGCUGGUAGGGUCGGACAGCCGAGUGUUUGGGUGCUGGAUUUUUUCCUGAUGAAGGUUUAAUACCUAAACAUUCCAUCCUGCUGCCAUCUGGUAAACAACACACCUGGUCGUCCAUGCGAUGUAAAAGAAAACGUGAUCUUCAGAGUGAAAGUAGCAGUUCCUCCUGAAGGUCAGAGAUUGCAGCAUCUGAGGGCCUCUUCAAAAGAAGACGUAGUUGAUGAAGGCGUUCUGGAGCAGGACCAGAAAGACCACGACCAAGCAGCCUUGAGAUCUUAGGCAGCGUCUCCCUCAGGUCCCUCUCUAUCUCCCCACACAUCCACCAACCACUGGAACACAUCUCCAAAGUUCUGCUGGACCAGCUCAGCUUCCCCUCAGAAGAAGUGCUGCCACCUGCCAGAUGAAGGAGCCUUUUGAGAGGCAGCUGGCAUCGUGAUUGGACUGUACUUUGGUCUGUUCCAAUCCAGCUUCAGCUCCAGAGACGGCAGGCGGGACGAGUCAACGGAGGCCUGGUGGACGAAGGCAUGCAGCUGAGUACAAUCCAGAAAACAACAGAGGAGGAGUGCAGCAGCCCAGUAUAGCCUUCGACCAAAGAACUACAGACUCUUCACAACCUGCUCAAACUCUUGGUACAGGACCUCACCACACGGGUCAAGAAGGUUUCUCUCUCAUUUCUACUCUGAAGCUCACCUUCUCCUGCUCAAACUGCUGACAAAUGUUUCUGCUGCGCUAAAGUCUGGUCUCCAGAACUUCCUAAAAACUCUCAAAGUCUCUUCUGCUGCAGGUUGCUUUGUAGAACUGUUCCAGAAAACCUCACUAAACCACAUGGAGGGGCCUCAAGAUAGUCAUCCAAAUGAAACCAUACAAAAACCAAACUAGCACAACCUAAACACUAAAGUCUCCUGCAGCCUACCAGAGAACCUCUGAGAACAGAGAAUCAGGACAGGAACUCUUACCUUCUGGACAACCAACGUUGGUUCACCAACAAGAAUACAGAAUGUGUCUGACCAAAAACCUCUGAAGACUCACUACAGCCAAGAUAAAGACACAACUCACCUGCACCAAAUCCACUAAUCAUUGCACACAUUAACACCAUGUGCUAACUGUGGCUAAAGAACCACAUUUACCAAGACAACUAUCCAGUACAAAGCCCUAAAACACACCAAGAAACACAUUAAAGAUGAUUUUACUGCUGGAAGCUGCAAGCCAACGCCUAAAGAACAAACUAAAGCAAUGGAGCCAAACCCGGUUUAGUGGUGAAGAGAAGCAGAAGAAAUGUUUGUCUGCAGCUAAAUAAAGCAGGAAGACACCGAGCUGCUCAGGUGUUCCUGAUAACACCAAGCAGCCACCUGGACAGCCAAUAGGAACACAGCUUCCUGGAAGUUUUGCACAGACAAUUUGCACAGACAUUCUUGCACUGCACAUCUUUGCACUUUUAAACUUUAUUUUUAUUUUUAUUUUUUCUGUUAAAAAUUUUGCCACCCUUGUAUAUAUUGUAAAUAAAACUGCUGUAACAAUGUAAAUUUCCCCUGGAGUGGGGAGAAAUAAAGAACUUUAUCUUUAUCUUAUCUUAAGUCCAGAGGGCUGGCUUAGUGAAGUAAAUUUAGUUUAAAGUUGAAGCAGAAAGUUAAC